rnacentral:lncRNA from 10 species
CGUGGCGGAGCCAGUCCCCUCGGGACCCUUCCGCCCGGCCCUGACGGCAGGGGCGGGGCGAGGGCUGCCCUCUGAUUGGCUCUUCGGGUGAAUGGUUGCCAAGAGACGAGUAAAUCCUCAGCGGCGGGAAGGGGCGGGGUGCUCAGGGAGGCAGCACUGCGCAAGCGCAAUAGAGGGGGCUGCGUCGACACCCACUUAACUUCGGAGUUAGUGGGACACCUUUCUUUUUGCUUAGUACGCUUUUCUGCUAUUCCUGCCGCAUAACUCUCUCUUCCCCAGGCUUUUCCCAUCUCCAUCCUAUUCUCUCGCAGGCAGGUUUUUCUUCCGCCUCUCUGGGGAUUUUCGCGUUGGUUCUCCCUGCCCCCAGGAGUGAGGCGGGUAACGCCCACGCCUACCUCCGGUGCUGGGGGAAAAGAUUACUUCCCAGAUGCAGUAUUUACAUCUCCUCCGCCCUACUCUUCCAACCCUGCCUGAAAUAAGUGUGGUUCUCCUGUCUGUCAGACUAUGAAGAGUUCUCAAAUAUGUCUUUCCCAGCGAGGGAGAGGAGAAAACUUCAGCCUCCACGAUCGAUGUUUCUCAAGUGUCAAGGAAAAUGGAGCCUAGGAGGGCAGCCCCACAAGCAGCGUGAUGGGCAUUUAAGCCGACGCAUGUGCCAGGUCCUAGAACAGAGUAACUUCCCCAUCUCAACACAAUAAAAUGGUGAUAUGAGAAUACCUGUCUUAUGCGGAUGUUGUGAGGAUGAAGUGGGCUAAUUCACACACAGGAAGUUUUCAAAAAAUGUCAGCUAGUAUUAUUCAGGAGGCUUCCCUCUCUGGGACUGAGAUUCUUCUCCUGAAAAAGGAGGGAAUCUUCCAGAAAAUCUCCAGGGCCCCUACCAGCCUGACAUGCAGCUCUUGGCAGAGAAUGGAGCUGAGGCAGGAGCUUCUUCAAAGACCCUCUCAUUGAGGAGCAAGGGACCCUGACCAGCCAUUGCCCACUGUUCACCACGUGAGGUCACAGGGACUGUCUGCUAGGCGGCCCCCAGGCCCCUCAGGGAAGACAUUGAUGUUAGUUUUGUUUUUGUUUUGUUUUCAGUGUAGAAAUGUAGCAGAGAAACACAGGGCAAGUCCACGCUGAUCAUCACAUACAUGGUACAUCAAGAGCAGGGCUGAGCACGCAGUCUAAGACAUUGUGUCAUCCUGUGGGGCUCAGGCUCCUCAUCCAUACAAUAGGGUCACCCUGCCUGUCACUUGGAGUAACCAUGAGAAUUACAUAAGAUAACCUGUGUGACCUGUGAAAGUGUGUGUCCCAUCACAGCACCUGGUGCAUAUCUGUUUUCCUUC